rnacentral:rRNA from 1 species
UCCCCUACGGGGCGCAGCAGUGAGGAAUAUUGGUCAAUGGGAGAGAUCCUGAACCAGCCAAGCCGCGUGAGGGAAGACGGCCCUAUGGGUUGUAAACCUCUUUUGUCGGAGAACAAAACCCGGGACGUGUCCCGGACUGCGUGUAUCCGAAGAAAAAGCAUCGGCUAACUCCGUGCCAGCAGCCGCGGUAAUACGGAGGAUGCGAGCGUUAUCCGGAUUUAUUGGGUUUAAAGGGUGCGUAGACGGCUGUGCAAGUCUGAAGUGAAAUGCCGGGGCUCAACCCCGGAACUGCUUUGGAAACUGUC